rnacentral:lncRNA from 1 species
AAUUAAUUGGCUUGCAUAUUUAUAGGCCCAAAUUAAUUAAUUGGAUUAAUUAGUUCACGGAUCGGAUUUAAUUAAAUGAGUUAAUUAAAUGUUGAACCGGGUCAGACCAAGCCCGUUUGGGCUUAUAUAAAUAUGAUUAGGAUUUUCAAAAUUGUGGUGAUUUUCAUAAUUCUUGCUAGCACAAAAAAAACCCUAAUGCUGCAAUCUUGUUCUCUAUGUGGAUUAUCGUUGGAGAUUGGACAAUUGGACAGCUGUGAGAGACAGAUCCAAGUUGCUAGAACAAAGAUAUGGCAAAGAAGUUUGCAGAUCCUGUAAAGGUACAUCUUUAUCAUAAUUUCUAUCUAAAUACAAAGGUGAUUCUUGGUAGGAAUCGAAAUCUAUUUUAAUUUUUCGUUGCGCAUGUUAAGUACAUUCCCAACAAGGAGCAUGUCGAAGAAGGUGAUGAAGAAGAUUCAUCUCAAGGUGAAGAUGGGACAAUUUUUGACAUCUCAAAUGAGCCUUAAGGAAUCCUAUCUGGUGUUCUUGAAAGGAAUAGCAUCCAAAAGUGGGUUGAAUGGGCUUCCUCGAUACUAAUAUCAAGUAACCUCUAAUAUCAUUCGAGUGGAUUACUAGAUCCUAUUACGAAUUGUGUGCAGGCAAAUGUGUUUGGUAGUUUCUAAAACUUGACGUUUUGUCGACGCUGAUCGGGUAAAGUUUUUACUUGCCAUUAACAUACUUGCAGUUUGCGAUUCUAUUGGCUUCUCUUUGGCUCUCCCCAAAUUCUAUCAAGGCCUUUUGGUUUAAAAAUUAACUUUUUGGCAUAAGAAUCGAAGUUUUAUUUAUGAAUUGUGGUUGGUGGAUGGUUUAGCUAACAAUUAGUAAGGUUGUUGUUGU